CUUACCUUCGGGUAAGUGAAUUAGUGGCAAACGGGUGAGUAACACAGAGGAAUCUACCUAGCAGUAAGGAAUAACCCUGGGAAACCAGAGCUAAUGCCAUAUAUUACCCUCCGGGGGAAAGAUUUAUCGCUGUUAGAUGAGCCUCUGCCGGAUUAGCUAGUUGGUAAGGUAAUGGCUUACCAAGGCUUUGAUCCGUAGCUGGUCUGAGAGGAUGAUCAGCCACACUGGAACUGAGACACGGUCCAGACUCC
rnacentral:rRNA from 1 species